rnacentral:rRNA from 1 species
GAUCAUGGCUCAGGACGAACGCUGGCGGCGUGCCUAACACAUGCAAGUCGAGCGAUGAAAUCCUUCGGGAUGGAUUAGCGGCGGACGGGUGAGUAACACGUGGGUAACCUGCCUUGUAGAGGGGGAUAGCCUUCCGAAAGGAAGAUUAAUACCGCAUAACAUCUUUUUUAUCGCAUGGUAGAAAGAUCAAAGGAGCAAUCCGCUACAAGAUGGACCCGCGGCGCAUUAGCUAGUUGGUGAGGUAACGGCUCACCAAGGCGACGAUGCGUAGCCGACCUGAGAGGGUGAUCGGCCACAUUGGAACUGAGACACGGUCCAGACUCCUACGGGAGGCAGCAGUGGGGAAUAUUGCGCAAUUGGGGGGAAACCCUGACGCAGCAACGCCGCGUGAAUGAAGAAGGCCUUAGGGUUGUAAAGUUCUGUUUACGGGGACGAUAAUGACGGUACCCGUGGAGGAAGCCACGGCUAACUACGUGCCAGCCGCCGC